rnacentral:lncRNA from 1 species
CGAAUUAGAGGACAAAACGGUCCGAAAGUGGGAAAAAUUUUUGACGGUGGCUAGAAAUUGAUGGAAACGGUGGGGAAAAAUACACGAACUGGACUCUAACAAGACCUAACCAACAACAAGACCUCGACUAGGACACAAACUCAACACUGCGGACUCUGAAACUGAAAUAUGCAAAGGCUAUGACGCGGAAGGGUUGUAGGACAAGAAAACGAUAUGGCACUGGACUUAUGGGACGAACACAAGAGCACUCGGAACUAAAGUGUAGAUGUGAACUUAACGGUAUACCUGAAGCUUUGAUUACCACUUGAUGAGAACAAGGGUGGCCCGAUCUUCCGAAAGCUUAUGGUAACUCUCGAUUUGGCGGAGACGAGACACAAAUCGAUUCGGCUUCCAAACAACACAAUCCAAAAUCCUACUAUUUUUUAUUUUUUUAUAUUUUUCUUUUACUUAGGAGCAAUAAAGAAGUAACCACAGAAAAUUUAAGCUUAAACAAGUGAAAGACGUGGCUUGCGGAAAUUUCUGAAGAUUGUGAAAAAUGUGAAAAAAAUUCACGAGGUGAAAACUCAAACUUUAGAGGUGAAUUUGGAGAUUCUAAAAUUUUCAAACCCACCAAUGGUAGAGACAGACAGAUCCAAAUUUUUUCUGAUCGAUUUUUAUAUAUGGAACAUUGAAAUCGGAGUUCGUAUGUGAAAGUUAUGCUUGUUUUACGAACGGACUCCGAAUUAGAGGACAAAACGGUCCGAAAGUGGGAAAAAUUUUCGGCGGUGGCUAGAAAUUGAUGGAAACGGUGGGGAAAAAAUACACGAACUAGACUCUAAUAAAACCUAACCAACAACAAGACCUCGACUAGGACACAAACUCGACACUGCGGACUAUGAAACUAAAAUAUGCAAAGGCUCUGGCACGGAAGGUUGUAGGACAGGAAAACGAUAUGGCACUAGACUUAUUGGACGAACACAAGAACACUCGAAACUAAGGGUAGCUGUGAACCUAAUGAUAUACCUAAAGCUGAUUACCACUGGAUGAGAACAAACGGUGGCCCGAUCUUCCCAAAGGUUCUGGUAACUCUCGAUUUGGCGGAUACGAGAUACAAAUCGAUCUGGGUUCCAAACAACACGAUCCGAAAUCCUGCAAUUUUUCUAAAUUUUUUUUAUAUAUUUCUUUUACUUAGAAGCACUAAAGAAGUAACCACAGAAAAUUUGAGCUUAAACAAGUGAAAGACGUGGCCUGCAGAAUUUUUGGAAGAUUGUGAAAAAUGUGAAAUAAACUUCACGAGGUGAAAACUGAAACUUCAGAGGCGAAUUUGGAGAUUCUAAAAUUUUCAAACCCACCAAUGGCAGAGACAGACAGAUCCAAACUUUUUUUCUGACCAAUUUUGAUAUAUGGAACAAUGAAAUCGGUGUUCGUAUGUGAAAGUUAUGGUUAUUUUAAGAACGGACUGGCAAAACGGUCCGAAAGUGGGAAAAAAUUGCGGCGGUGGCUAGAAAUUGAUGGAAACGGUGGGGAAAAAUACACAAACUGGACUCUAACAAGACCUAACCAGCAACAAGCCCCCAACCAUGACACAAACUCGACACUGCGGACUCUGAAACUGAAGUAUGCAGAGGCUAUGGCGCGGAAUGGUUGUAGGGAAGAAAAACGAUAUGGCACUAGACGUAUGGGACGACCACAAGAACACUCAAAACUAAGGAUAGAUGUGAACCUAAUGGUAUACCUGAAGCUUUGAUUACCACUUAAUGAGAACAAGGGUGACCCGAUCUUUCGAAACGUUCUGGUAACUCUUGAUUUGGUGGAGACGAGACACAAAUCGAUCUGGCUUCCGAACAACACGAUCCAAAAUCCUGCAAUUUUUUUUUUGAUAUUUUUCUUUUCUUAGGAGCAAUAAAGAAGUAACCACAGAAAACUUGAGCUUAAACAAGUGAAAGACGUGGAGUGCAGAAAUUUCUGAAGAUUGCGAAAAAUGUGAAAAAAAAUCACGAGGUGGAAACUCAAACUCUGGAGGCGAAUUUGUAGAUUCUAAAAUUUUCAAACCCACCAAUGGCAGAGACAGACAGAUCCAAAAAAUUUUUCUGACAGAUGUUGAUAUAUGGAACAUUGAAAUCGGUGUUCGUAUGCGAAAGUUAUGGUUGUUUUACGAACUGACUCCGAAUUAGAGGACAAAACGGUCCGAAAGUGGGAAAAAUUUUUGACGGUGGCUAGAAAUUGAUGGAAACGGUGGGGGAAAAUACACGAACUGGACUCUAACAAGACCUAAUCAACAACAAGACCUCAACUAGGACACAAACUCAACACUGCGGACUCUGAAACUGAAAUAUGCAAAGGCUAUGACGCGGAAGGGUUGUAGGACAAGAAAACGAUAUGGCACUGGACUUAUGGGACGAACACAAGAGCACUCGGAACUAAAGGGUAGAUGUGAACUUAACGGUAUACCUGAAGCUUUGAUUACCACUUGAUGAGAACAAGGGUGGCCCGAUCUUCCGAAAGCUUAUGGUAACUCUCGAUUUGGCGGAGACGAGACACAAAUCGAUUCGGCUUCCAAACAACACAAUCCAAAAUCCUACUAUUUUUUAUUUUUUUAUAUUUUUCUUUUACUUAGGAGCAAUAAAGAAGUAACCACAGAAAAUUUAAGCUUAAACAAGUGAAAGACGUGGCUUGCGGAAAUUUCUGAAGAUUGUGAAAAAUGUGAAAAAAAUUCACGAGGUGAAAACUCAAACUUUAGAGGUGAAUUUGGAGAUUCUAAAAUUUUCAAACCCACCAAUGGUAGAGACAG